ensembl:lncRNA LINC02901 long intergenic non-protein coding RNA 2901
GCAGAACAGGUGGAGAGGUAUGAAGAACGAGGAACACUGCCCGGGGAGUUUCUUCCUCUGCAAAAUAAGGGAGUGUGUACUGAAUUACCGUUUCCAGCUCCAACAUCCAGGAUUUCAGCACUACCUGCAGAGUAGUGGGAGGAGAGAUAGAGGAAGAAGUGAAGAUAAGAAACCACUCGAAGCCGGUGUCUGGUGCUGGGACCGUGGUGGCUGGGACGGCAGCAGUCGUGCUGUCCAUCUGCUCUUCCGAGGGGUGGCACAUCCUAGCCUCUAUCUUUUCCCCAGAGAAGAUCCCCCUCGUCUGCUCUUCCCCCGUCUCAGCCUUUUAGUGUGUGAACAGUUCUGGUGUUACUCAGCAACGCUUUUGUUAGCGCCUUUACCAGCAAGUACUUGUUAAACACUUAAAUCUUACAAGUGGAAAGAAAAUUCCGUGGUAAAUUUAAGUACAAAAGUCAACCAAAAUUCUGAGUCUCGGACAAGACUGGUUAAAAAUCGUUCUACAAUGAAACUAAUAAAUUAAAUCAUAUAAAACUUUU